rnacentral:rRNA from 1 species
UACGAAGGGGCGUAGCGUUGUUCGGAAUUACUGGGCGUAAAGCGCACGCAGGCGGUGGUCAUAGUCAGAAGUGAAAGCCCUGGGCUCAACCCGGGAAUUGCUUUUGAUACUGGACCGCUAGAAUCACGGAGAGGGUAGUGGAAUUCCGAGUGUAGAGGUGAAAUUCGUAGAUAUUCGGAAGAACACCAGUGGCGAAGGCGACUACCUGGCCGAAUACUGACGCUGAGGCGCGAAAGCGUGGGGA